GGGAGUUGGGUUUGAAUCUUCUCCAAAGCUCUGAAUCGGGGUCAAUGCACUUCAGCUGCUGAGGGGAAGGAGAAAUGCUUCUGUAGGAGGAGGUGCCCUGCCUGAACUCCAGGAAAAUGGAUUACAUGCACAAGUGUAGCUGUGAAAUAAGGAGCCAAAGAAACUGAAGAUCAGACGUGGUUUUAAUUCCCAGUUUUGAAUACCUGGCUUAGGAUGACAGAAAGAGAAGUUCAUGCCCGUUGGUUUUUGCAAGCCAGUGGAUCUGCUUGUCCUCCUUGCAGGAGGGUUGUUUCUUCUCUGAGAGCAAAGAGUAAAGCUGAACAAGUGAUUUUGGGUGCUUCCUGUAAUCCACACUCUCAGAGCCCAAACCCCCAUCAUUAACUCAGCUCUGCAACAGCCUUCUGAGGUGGGGAAGUAGCAAUAUCCCUCUUCUUUAAAAUGGGGAACUUGAACCCAAUGCUGGUAGAAGUCAGAUGGAAAGAUGGUGGCUGCAAUAGAUGUUCUUUGUACAAAAUCCUCUCCCCUGCUUCCUCUGCAGGCUCUCAGGCAGGGGAAGGCUGGCUACACUGGUGCUGCCAGGUUUAUGUGCCUGAAGGAGCUGCAGCCACCAGCCCACAUGAACUGGCACCAGGCCAUGCACUGUCUUCUUUUCAGUCAACCAAACCCUGCCUUGCCCCAGAGUUUUAGCUGUGGGGAUGAAGUGAGUGUGGAAGUGGCAGUUCCUCAUUUUACCUUGGAAGCCAGGGAAUGGGUCAGAAACACCCCCUGGGCUGUGUGGCUGUAUCCUGUGCCAUUUGCUGCCCACUUUGACCCAGCUGCUUGGUGGGGCUUUUGCAGGAGUCACAGGUUUGUGCCACAGCAGCCUGCAGAACAAAGUGAUUGGUUUUGCUCCUUGGCAGGUGGCAGCAGUGAUGCAGGAAAGGUGACAGCAGCAGUGCCAGCAAUGUUAGUGGGGUUUCUUUAUCAGCCUUGCCCAGUAGUGCUUUCUGCACUCGUGGUUAGGUGCUGGUGAUCCAUGGGGUGAUGCAGGUGGUUGAAUCCCUUGUUCUGUGUCCCAGGAGAGGAACAAACAUGUUGGUGACACGAUGCUGGGUGGUCCAAACAAACACAGAGCAGGUGUUGUGGGGCUUGUGGUCAUUCAGCUUCCACCUGAGCAGAGCAGCCCUCACAGAAUGGUUUGGGUUGGGAGGGACCUUAAAGCUCAUCUCAUUGAGCUUUAAGGCAGGGACACCUUGCACUAUCCCAGGUGGCUCCAAGCCCUGUCCAACCCUUCCAGGGAAGCAUCCACAGCUCCUCUGGUCACCCUGUGCCAGGGCCUCACCACCCCUGGGUGCCUCUAAAAUCCAAAGCUGUUGCUGAGAUAGUGCAGCACAUGAGACAAUGACGGUUUAUUUUCUGUCUCCAGUGCCCUCCAGUGUGAGAUCUGUUCCCUGCUGUGCCUCCUGCAGUUGUUUCUCAGCACCUUCUCUGGCUGUUUUCUCAACCCUUUGGAUCAGGGCUUUGAGGACAGUCUGCCUGACACACACUUUGCCUGGGGAACCUGUGUGGGUUCAUGCUGGGUUCAAGGGCUGCUCAUGGUGGUUUGCACUGAUGGGUGUUGACAGGGGUUCAGGUUUGGGCAGAGCAGAGGAGCAGCUCCUGAGGAUGCAGCCCUGAAGGCAAGAAAAAAGAAAAAGAAAAGAAGCAAGCAAAAAUCUGUACCAAAGUACACUGAAAUCAGCAGCUGGCUUUGUCAGAGCAGCCAGGAGCUCUUUUGCUGAAGUGAUUGUCUUGGGAAGAGCCAACAUGUGAGCCACAGACUGGGAUCACACUUGGUUGUGUUGGGUUUUUGUAAUUCUUCCUUGAAGUGAAUUUGGAUCCUGUGUUUUGGCUCAAGUUGGAAAGAGAACAUCAAAAUGAUGAAAUGUCCAAUGUAAGAGGGCAGGGAAAACUGGGUUUCCAGGCUGCCUUUGAUCCUGGCUCACAGCCUUGUCCUGGGCA